UACAGAGGUCCCGAGCGUUGUUCGGAUUCACUGGGCGUAAAGGGUGCGUAGGUGGUGACGUAAGUCGGAUGUGAAAUCUCGGAGCUCAACUCCGAAACGGCAUUGGAAACUGCGUUGCUAGAGGGUUGGAGGGGGGACUGGAAUGCUUGGUGUAGCAGUGAAAUGCGUAGAUAUCAAGCGGAACACCAGUGGCGAAGGCGAGUCCCUGGACAACACCUGACACUGAGGCACGAAAGCUAGGGGAGCAAACACG
rnacentral:rRNA from 1 species